CAGACUGGGUUUUGUUUUUCCUCCUUUUUAUUUAAACUACAGGAACAUGGUUCCAACUGGAAUCGCCUAUUAAAACCAUCCAUUCUUAACAGCAAAAUCGAUAUCCACGGUGUCUCCGGGCAAAGCGCCCGUUACCCCGUGAGCCUCUGCCACAGGUGGACGCAGAGCAACAGACACUCGGUUACCCUCAGGCCACAUGGUCCUCGGAUUGCCCGGUCCCGGGUCCCCGCAAGGCGCGUCUACACCACGCCGCUAGACCCACGCGGCGAGGGGCUGGGCUUCCCCGGGGGCCACGGGUUCCGAAGUCCGCCCCCGUCCCCGCCUCCGGAGCUCACCGCUUUGAGAUCCAGAACGCCGUCCUUGGCCUCCUGCAGCAGCGACACGAACUUGGUAGUGAGCAGCCCCAGGCUCUUCUCGUGCCUGCUGCUGCCGCCCCCGGCGCCCCCGAGCUGCGGCGGCGGGGGCGGC
ensembl:lncRNA novel transcript, antisense to E2F5